CAAUAAAAGAAACGAAUAAUCUAGAAAUUUUAAAAAUAAACUAAUUAUCGAGUCUAGACACAUAUCCAGUUGGAGUAGAAUUGCUUAAAGUGAGAGUGAUAAACAAAUGUAUACCAAAGUUCUUCAUCAUUGCCUGUUUCUUGUCUUGUUGUCUAUGUCACUAGUUACUCAGUGCAGUUAUUCUUGAAUUUGAUGAUGUUCCCAUUGAUAACUUAUUUUUGAAGAUUUUUCAACAAGGCAAAGCAUGUGAUCUUGGAGGUCCUGUUCUUGUGGCAUCGCUCAGCGUGAGCAUCAUGUUUUCUGCAGCAAGUCUUACAUGCCCCAACCUCAACUACGAGCCUUCAAGUAUAUAAGAAAGCUACAGAUAACUGCUGGCCCUAAAUUGAAGGGUGUAAGGAAAGGGAAAAUUAUUGAAUCGUUCUGUUAGGGGAACUUUCUGGAGCUUAUGGCUGGACCAAAGAGGUUGACUUUCGCUUUGUGUCUCUUAUCCUGUCAAGAAGCAAUGGCGUCAAGCUUACAUCUCUUACGGAGUCUUUACUAUGUGGAUCAACUUGUGGAGAUUAUCAAGGAUUCAAGGUCAGAAUCUAGCAUUCAUAUGAAAUUGCCACAAACUCAGCUUUUGAAGGCUAUCAAGGGCUGAAUCUAUAUUCCGUGGAAUCAUUGAAGAUAUUGUACGUGCUGCAAAGUGGCAUGUUAUAGAGCAAUACCAAAGGCGGCGCGGCAGCAGCAUAAGUAUUACCAUACCUUUCAUGUAUCUUUGAGUAGAGAAGCAGAAACAAUUAUUUAAGAAUGCUGGAGAGAAGACUAUUGAGUGGUUAGACAAGCUAGGAAAUUCUAAUGGUACUUUUCAAAUAUCCCAAAUCCGUUUGAACAUGCAACGAGUAAUGCAGAAUAUUGCUACGAUUCUUCGUACACAAAGUACAUUCAAGAGGAGAGGAUAUUCUUGGUAUUGGAGUAUUUUGAUGGUGGUGAGUUGGUGACUUUGGAGCUUACAUUCAUAGGCAUGGUAGAGUUACAGAACUGCUGCUAGGCACUUUAUCAAACAGCUGGGUACAAGUUAAAAAAAAAUUAAAAAAUAAAUUAAAAAAAUAAAUAAAUCUUGCUUUAGUUAAUAAUUGUUGUUGUAAAUAUUAGGGUUUGUUAUUUUUAUAUUUGACACAGUAAAUAUUACUCCAUCUGUCCCUUAAUAUUGAAACUUUUGCUAUUGUCAUUA